GACUUCAAAUGAAAAAGUCAUCACCAACAAAGUUGUAUAAAUCAUCAAUAUCUAUAACUUUUAUUUUGGUCAUUUAUUCAUCUGACAAAGUGGUAGUAACAUUGUUCACAAAAUUUACAUAUCUAUCUUAUAGUUUAUAAAACCAUAUAAGAGAUGUGUAAAUUUUGUGAACAAUAUUACUACUAUUUUGUCGGAUGAAUAAAUGACCAAAAUAAAAGUUAUAGAUAUCGAUGAGUUAUACAACUUUGUUGUUGAUGACUUUUUCAGNNNNNNNN
rfam:Oryza barthii chromosome 5, whole genome shotgun sequence.